UACAGAGGUCUCAAGCGUUGUUCGGAUUCAUUGGGCGUAAAGGGUGCGUAGGCGGCGCGGUAAGUCGGGUGUGAAAUCUUGGAGCUUAACUCCGAAACUGCAUUCGAUACUGCCGUGCUUUGAGGACUGGAGAGGAGACUGGAAAUUUUACGGUGUAGCGGUGAAAAUGCGUAGAUAUCGUAAGGAAGACCAGUGGCGAAGGC
rnacentral:rRNA from 1 species